GAAGUGUCUGUAACCUGAGGUACCACUGUAAUAUGAAAUGUUUACAGUGUAAUGGCUAUAUAUGUACAGAUAAUUUCAUAAACUCCUUGGAAAAAGUUGUAAUGUUGGUAUCUGUUUUGCCAUAGUCCAAUUAGAAAGAGAAUAUGGUUCAUUAAAAAAUUGAUUAAGAACAGGACUUCCAGGAACUACCAAGGACUGUUAAUCUUUCAGAAAAAAUUCUCUUUCCAAACCUCUUGGCAGAUUACUGGCUUCUUUCUUCAUUUGAAAGUAGUCUUUGUAAUUGGCCAGUUAGAAAGGCUGAAAAGAUGUGACAUUGAUUAGGGUUUAGAGGGGGUUUUGGGGGAGAGGGGUUAAAGGAGAGACAGGGAAGGAAGGGAAGGAGUGUGUGUCUAAGCCAGGAGCUGCUAAGGAAAGUAGCCAACACAUUUCAGGAUUUUUUUGGCAGGUUUUGUCCUAAUGAAUUAUAGUAUUUGCCCUCUCUCCCCCACCACUAUAUCUUCUACUCACCAUCACCCCACCCCUCACACACGUUUCCCCCAAUUCUGAAUGUUUUUGAAAAGCUGCAAUUACAGAGGUUACAUAUAAUUUGAAUCAACACAGCUGGUCCUGGAACAGUUUCAGUGCAUAAUCACCUAUCAUGGGUGCUAAUUCCUGCUAUGAUUAAAACCCAUGCUUUCCAGUAGGGCCAACAGCUCCAUUGUCAGAUAUGCCACCCCUUAAUGCAGAAGUCUUGGGCUUGUUUCCACCUGGCUUGCAGGGUUUCCUUUAUUGGUGUGAGGGUAUGAUAAAAUAUGGGGAGGGGGGCAGGUAAGCCCUGUCAGGCAUAAUCGAUCACAUGACACAGUGCAUGCACACCAUUUGAAUGGCAAUGUCCAUCAGUUGGGGGGGGGCAGGCCUCCUCAAGUAUUGGGGAGGCUAAAGACCUUUCAGACCCUAGGACCCUAUGAAGAUGUAUGUACUUUCCCCAAACCUGCUUAUGCAUGGACAGUGCUGUUUGGGCUUCUCUGCACCUCAGAAAAGAAGGGCAUGGUAAUUGUGCACAGACCAAUAGAACAGGAGCACAGGAAAUUGUCAUAUUGUGAGCCAAAUCAUUGGGCUUUCUAGUUCUGUCUACACCGACUGUCAGAGAUUUUCCAGGGUUUCAGACGGGGGUCUCUCCCAGUCCUAUCACAGAUAGAACCUAAGACCUUCUACAAGCAAGGCAGAUGCCCUACCACUAAGCUGUGACCCUUCUGAAUGUACAUGAAGACAGAAAGAGAAUACAAGAUCGAUGAAUAAAAAUGAACAGGUGGAAAAUAAACUUAAUGUGAGUCGAAUUUACAUUUUCAGUUUUGAACUCUGAAUAUGAUUUUGUUUGUUGAAUUUAAUGCAUAUUUUUACAGGCAUUAAAAAUAUUGGGAGGAAUGUGGCAUGAAAGAGAGAGAGCUGUCUAGCUUCCCAUAACUUCUUUUAUACAAAACAGUGUAACAGGAUAAGCAAGAAAUGCACUUCAUUUUAAAAUUAGGAAAGCAUAAUCUAAAUUUCCAUUAUUCAGUUACAUUUUCACAGGAGUGUGAAAAGUGUGUGGAAAUGUAGAGAGAAGGGGAUCUCUCUUAUCUUAAUUAAUCUUCUUCUCAUCCUCCCCCCUCUUUGCGACAACUAAGCCGUCGUAGGAGUUGAAAUUACGCACUAAGAAAACCUGGAAUUUGAUGACAUAAGUGUUUGAAGCAAAAAGGAGUUUUGCAGUAUCCAACGCUGAUGAAUAAGCUGUCAGUAUCUGCAAAGGCAGCAGCUCUCCCACAGUAAGAUGAGAGCUGGCAAUGCAACUGAAAUGUAAGUGAACAGCACCUGUGAACGAGUGUUGUUCAUUUGUCACUUCCCUGUUGCCCUGAGACAGUUGUUGUGGGGAACAACUACGACUUCCAUCAGCUCCAUUCAAUAUGGCCAGUGGCCAGAGAUGAUGGGAGCUGUAGUUCAAUAGCAGCCAAAAGGAUUCCCCCACACCUGUCCUGAGGUUUUGAUGUGAGAAAUGUGUAUGGGGAGGUGUUCCUGGCUGGGUCUGCUUCAGGUGGCAUCUUGGGGCAGGCACAGUGCUUCUUUUCGAGAAAAAGAGGUGCCAGAGCUCACCAUAACCGCUUCCUUUGUUCUCUUCUAAUGGCAUUGGUGAUGGAGGAGGAGGAGGUUGGAUUUGAUAUCCCGCUUUAUCACUACCCGAAGGUGUCUCAAAGCGGCUAACAUUCUCCUUUCCCUUCCUCUCCCACAACAAACACUCUGUGAGGUGAGUGGGGCUGAGAGACUUCAGAGAAGUGUGACUAGCCCAAGGUCACCCAGCAGCUGCAUGUGGAGGAGCAGGGAAUCGAACCCGGUUCACCAGAUUACGAGUCCACCGCUCUUAACCACUACACCACACUGGCUCUCUCUCCACCUGAGAGGUGCCAGAACUGAGUUCCAGUGAUUUCCGGCUGAAAAAACAACCCUGGGGAGACAGGACCUGAAGCCUGGAUGCUGCACAAGGCUUCUGACACUUUGGGCACCAGCAGGAAGAAGGCUGCCAUUGAGGCUUCCCUUUCUGCAGUAAAAUGUCUUGACUGGUUGACACUGGGAAGGAGGUUGUGGACGACUCUCCCCAAACCAACCACUUUAAGUUGAUGAGGAAGGACAAGGCUGAGUGCUAGAGCAUCUGCUUUGACUGCAGAAGGUUCAAUCCUUGGCAUCUCCAGGUAGAACGGGGAGAGACUGUUGUCUGGAAACCUGAAGGGGUGCUGCCAGUCAGAGUGGGCAAUACUGAGCUACGUGUAUCAAUACUGCAUUGCAGCACGAGGCAGCUUCCUAUGUUCCUAGCACAUGCCAAAGCAUUCUUGCAGGAUUGUUUAAAAGUGAUUUAAAUGGCAUUCAUGUUGCAUUUCUGAACGUAUUGUGAUUUCCUUGUACUUCCUCCCAUUACUCCAACCUCGCAAUUCUUCGUGGAUGCUUCUUCCUUUCAUCUGAAAAAUGGCACUUGCUUUCCUUGGAAAUGAAUAAUUCCCGCCCCCCUUUCCCACUGAACAUUUUACUCCAUUCAGCGGUUUGUUGUGGCUUUACUUUACAUUACAGCCUUUAGCGUCAUACUGGAAACAUCUUAUUUUCCAAAGUGGUGCUAUUCAUUUUUUUCAACAUUUUAAACAUCUAUUUCAGCAGUAUUGGUUAUGUAUGCUUUGCUCAGCCAUGUUUAAUCUUUGGAGUGAUCUGUUUUCCCCUUAGAAAGUAUCUUUUUAAAUGCACCUGAAUGAAUGUAUUCAUUACAGCUACCACCAUGGUGACACUUUAAUACCAAGGCCUCAUUUUGUUAACAGGCUGUGUGGCAUUAAAUAUGAGUGCUG